GAACUACUCCCUCGGUCCCAAAUUUCUUGUCUUAGAUUUGUCUAGAUACGGAUGUAUCUAAUACUAAAAUGUGACUUGAUACAUCCGUAUCUAGACAAAUCUAAGACAAGAAUUUUGGGAUGGAGGGAGUACUUU
rnacentral:pre_miRNA from 1 species